UAGGAGCCAUAAAAUAUUGAACUAAAAAUAUGUAAUUAACCGAUUUGGGGUUUUCGUUCGGUAUUCUUCUCCACUCAAAAACCCUAGAGUUACAAUCAUCUUUUAACAACUUCAAUUAAUCAGAGCAUCAAUCUAAGUUUACAAAUGGGAGGUAGAGGAGUGAUAAGCGAUAAAUGGUCCAUGAGGGUUCUCUGGAUCACAGCAAUUGGAAGUGCUAUUGGCCUGUAUAUGGUUGCGGUUGAAAGACAGACACAAAACAGGGAAAAGAUGAUGGCUGAAGCCUUAAGGGCUGCUGCAGAAGCUGAUGCAAACAACACCUGAUUCCUCAUCAACUGAAAGUUGGAGAUUUUUGUUUGAGACAUGAUUUAAUAAUAAUAAUAAUUCAUCAUCUAAGUCAAAAAAGUGUAGAAUUUUUAAAUCUUGAAUUCUUUCAAGAAUGAUGAGUGUGAGUUUGUGACCCAAUUUGUUUUGUUUUGUUUUUUUGUUUAUAUAUUUUUUUUAAUCAGUUACAUAUAUUUGUGUCUGUUAAUUUGCAUAUGUUGGUGGAUUUACCUUUGUUGUAUUUUAGG
rnacentral:lncRNA from 1 species